AACGCAGCUUGCACUCUAGGUUCUCCUAGAGUAUGCCUAUUUGAGUAUCGUACACCCCCACUCGAGCCGCAAGGCUUGGAUCUGAUGAGUCGUGUGCCACUCUGGCACUGACUUGAAUUGGAGUGAAUCGGGUCUAUGCGCUGCCGCUGCUGCCCUGGUUCUGACGUGAUAACACAUCUCGUCAGCUUGUGCACAACGCCAGUCUUACACCUCUCACCAACACACCCCAUCUCUGAUAUCGAUCUCAAAUUAGGUAGGACUACCCGCUGAACUUAA
rnacentral:misc_RNA from 1 species